AGUGAACGCUGGCGGUAGGCCUAACACAUGCAAGUCGAACGGCAGCACAGUAAGAGCUUGCUCUUACGGGUGGCGAGUGGCGGACGGGUGAGGAAUACAUCGGAAUCUACUUUUUCGUGGGGGAUAACGUAGGGAAACUUACGCUAAUACCGCAUACGACCUACGGGUGAAAGCAGGGGAUCUUCGGACCUUGCGCGAUUGAAUGAGCCGAUGUCGGAUUAGCUAGUUGGCGGGGUAAAGGCCCACCAAGGCGACGAUCCGUAGCUGGUCUGAGAGGAUGAUCAGCCACACUGGAACUGAGACACGGUCCAGAAUCCUACGGGAGGCAGCAGUGGGGAAUAUUGGACAAUGGGCGCAAGCCUGAUCCAGCCAUACCGCGUGGGUGAAGAAGGCCUUCGGGUUGUAAAGCCCUUUUGUUGGGAAAGAAAAGCAGCAGGUUAAUACCCCGCUGUUCCGACGGUACCCAAAGAAUAAGCACCGGCUAACUUCGU
rnacentral:rRNA from 1 species